rnacentral:rRNA from 1 species
GGGUAACGGGGUGUUAGGGCACGACACCGGAGAGGGAGCCUGAGAAACGGCUACCACAUCCAAGGAAGGCAGCAGGCGCGCAAAUUACCCAAUCCCGACAUGGGGAGGUAGUGACAAUAAAUAACAAUACAGGGUUCUUUUGGAUCUUGUAAUUGGAAUGAGUACAAUUUAAAUCUCUUAACGAGGAACAAUUGGAGGGCAAGUCUGGUGCCAGCAGCCGCGGUAAUUCCAGCUCCAAUAGCGUAUAUUAAAGUUGUUGCAGUUAAAAAGCUCGUAGUUGAAUUUCGGGAUCAAGGAAUCGGUCAUGCCUCGGUAUGUACUGGUUUUAUUGGUUCUCACCUUCUAAAGAACCAUAAUGUCAUUUAUUUGGUGUUAUGGGGAAUUAGGAAUGUUACCUUGAAAAAAUUAGAGUGUUUAAAGCAAGCUUACGCUUGAAUACAUUAGCAUGGAAUAAUGAAAUAGGACAUCAGAUUCUAUUUUGUUGGUUUCUAGGAUCGAUGUAAUGAUUAAUAGGGAUAGUUGGGGGCAUUAGUAUUCAAUUGUCAGAGGUGAAAUUCUUGGAUUUAUUGAAGACUAACUACUGCGAAAGCAUUUGCCAAGGAUGUUUUCAUUAAUCAAGAACGAAAGUUAGGGGAUCGAAGACGAUCAGAUACC